GCUUAUGGCCACACCGCCUGGUUCACGGCUGAUCUCGUUUGAUCUCGGAAGCUAUGAUAGGUUGGGCCUGGUUAGUACUUUGAUGGGAGACCGCCUGGGAAUACCAGGUGCUGUAAGCU
rnacentral:rRNA from 1 species